UGGGGAAUAUUGCACAAUGGGGGAAACCCUGAUGCAGCGACGCCGCGUGAACGAAUAAGGUAUUCGUAUCGUAAAGUUCUGUCCUAUGGGAAGAUAAUGACAGUACCAUAGAAGAAAGCUCCGGCUAAAUACGUGCCAGCAGCCGCGGUAAUACGUAUGGAGCGAGCGUUGUCCGGAAUUAUUGGGCGUAAAGGGUACGCAGGCGGUUUAAUAAGUCGAAUGUUAAAGAUCGGGGCUCAACCCCGCAAAGCAUUGGAAACUGAUAAACUUGAGUAGUGGAGAGGAAAGUGGAAUUCCUAGUGUAGUGGUGAAAUACGUAGAUAUUAGGAGGAAUACCAGUAGCGAAGGCGACUUUCUGGACACAAACUGACGCUGAGGUACGAAAGCGUGGGGAGCAAACAGG
rnacentral:rRNA from 1 species